rnacentral:rRNA from 1 species
UACGUAGGGGGCAAGCGUUGUCCGGAUUUAUUUGGGCGUAAAGAGCUCGUAGGCGGCUUGUCGCGUCGUCCGUGAAAACCUGCAGCUCAACUGCAGGCUUGCGGUCGAUACGGGCAGGCUAGAGUUCGGUAGGGGAGACUGGAAUUCCUGGUGUAGCGGUGAAAUGCGCAGAUAUCAGGAGGAACACCGGUGGCGAAGGCGGGUCUCUGGGGCCGAUACUGACGUGGAGGAGCG